ACACUUAUCUGGUGACAUUCUGGACUCAGCACAAUAGAUGUGCCCUCACAUGCAAGGAACAGCAUUCCAGUCUUAAUCCUUACAGACUUUCGGAGGAACUCCCUCACAUCACCCACAGUAGAAAUAACAUGAGAAAGCACACAGUCAUCUCUUGCAUCCAUGUCCUAUCCAUGCUUUUGCAUUGCUGACAAGUGACGGGUGGGCUCUGACAUCAGGAGAUGCAAAUGGCUGAUGAUUCAGACGGUUGUUUGGUAAG
rnacentral:lncRNA from 1 species